AUGUUGUAUGGCGCGGAGUGUUGGCCGACUAAAAGGCGACAUGUUCAACAGUUAGGUGUGGCGGAGAUGCGUAUGUUGAGAUGGAUGUGUGGCCACACGAGGAAGGAUCGAGUCCGGAAUGAUGAUAUACGAGAUAGAGUUGGGGUAGCACCAAUUGAGGAGAAGCUUGUCCAACAUCGUUUGAGAUGGUUUGGGCAUAUUCAGCGCAGGCCUCCAGAAGCUCCAGUGCAUAGCGGACGGCUAAAGCGUGCGGAGAAUGUCAAGAGAGGGCGGGGUCGACCGAUUUUUGACAUGGGAGGAGUCCGUUAA
rnacentral:rRNA from 1 species